GUAUGACCAGAAAUUAUUGAGAAUUUUAGGAAUAUGUUUAAUUGGAUUUCUAGUAUAAACAACCUUGACCAACUAUCAAGAGCUUGGUUUGAUUCAAGAGAGACACAUCCGUUAAUCCCUCAGUUUUUCAUUAGUUUGUGA